ensembl:lncRNA
UGUUCUGGAAAGGUCUAUCUGGCUGACGUAGGGGCAGGCUGGGUACCGGAGUGGCUAGGGAAUGGGGCUGGGACCCCGGGGAGGGGAGGGAGAGGAGCAGGCGGGGCAGCAGGGAGCGUGGGGAGAGAGCCCGGCCCACCUGGGCUGGGGGCAGGAGGGAGGGGGAGGGCUCUUGGGAUCCGGCCAGGGUGGUCUCUGAGGCUGGUUGAGGGUCAGGAACACGACCAGGAAGGAAGGAGGCCCCUAUGUCCAGCGUGGGUCACCCCAAGGACUCGGCAGGAGGGGCCACCAUGCGAAUCCCAUGGGAUCACGCAGCACCUGCAACCCUGAGGCCCUUAAACUAGGACCCUGGAGUCCCGCCGCUUCGAGCCUGUCCUCCCAAGGCCCAUCGCGGAGGCAAAAUGUGCAGCGCGGAGCCCACGUGCACCCGACGCUUGGCAGGCGCCGAGGAAUCAGGGAGGCCACGAGUGACAUCAUCCGCUGCUGUUUACAGCUGAGCAAACACGCCGGGCUCAGCGAGGUGGCACGGUUGCCCAAGGUCACACAGCCCGGAGGAGCAGGGGGCCCACACCGGGGCGAUGCGACCUAGGGGCUAACCGGUGGAGGCUCCGACCGCCUGCCUGCCCCGCCCCGCGCACCCCGCCCACCCCCGUGGGCCUCGGGCGCCCGAAGCCACGUGAAGGCAGCCGAGGCUGCAGGAGCAGCGCAGGGCUCGUCACGGAAGGGGUUAACGCUCCCGCCGCAUUGGGCCGGCCUCCGUGGGAAGCAGCCAAUGGGCGCGUGGGGCGAAGAGGGUCUCGCACUGGAGCCUGGGUUGGCCUUGAACUUGUGGCGAUCCUCCUGCCUCAGCCCCCCCAAGUGCAGGAUGACUGGCAUGUGCCACCUCGCCUGGCUUCAAGCUCAGCUGUUAAAUGGGAAGAACAGAAGCUGCCCCUGGGCUGCGACAUCAGGCCGACCAGGUGCUUUUGGGGAGAGUGCCAUCUGGGGCACCCCAGGGAACAGCGGGUGCCACAAGGCACCUGCCCAGGGCUCCAUUUAGUGUUUUGGAGACGGAUUCCAGGUGUCCCGUUUGGGUGGGGGUGGGGAUGGAGCGCCUCGGGUAUAACACGCACAGGAGGGACCCUCCUGGUGACAGAAGUGGUCUGGACUUUGGCUGGGGUGAGGGUUGCCCUGGCCAGGAUCCCCUACAGGAAGCCACAUCCAGGCAGAAGUAAAGCAGAGGAGUCAGAGAGGUGGGGGUGGGUCAGUGCCACAUCCUGGAGUUGAGGGUGGCACUGCACUGCCAUGCACUGCAUCAUUUCUGACAGCCACAUGUGCAUCUACAGUGGUCUCCGGAAAACUUUCAGGCCAGGUGUGCUGAUGCACACUUGUAAUCCAAGCACUCAGGAGGCUGAGGCAGGAGGAUCAUUGUGAGUUCCAGCUGGAGCUACAUAGCAAGACCCUGUCUACAAAAAUAACAAAAAUAUGUACAAACAUAAGGUAUGACAUAAACUCCACAUAGCUCUUUUUUUUUUUUUCUGGAACCAGGGCUCGAACUCAGGUCCUUGUGGUUGCAAGGCAGGCGGCGGAACCACUGAACUAAAUCCCUGGCCCCACAUAGCUCUUACACAACCAUAAACCAAGGCAAAUUGAUCAGUCAAAUGCAAAAUCAAGCUGGGGAUGUAGCUCAGUGGUGCCGUGCCUGCCUGGCAAGCACACAGUUCUGAGUUCGAUCCCUAGUACCGAAAAAAAAAGCGAACUCAAUUCAAAUCAGAGUAAUCACAUGUGACAUGUUACUUCUUUUGUUUGAAACCCUGUCACUGCCCACAGUGUAGAUAUGGCCCAGCUGCCAGGGUGCUCUGAGUUGGUGAGAGAGUGGCUGGCCUUACACACACACACACGUGCACACGCAUACACACACACAGAGCAGGUGAUUUUUCCUCAGAAUACAUAAAGAAUUCCUACCAAUUAAUAAGAAAAAGGCAGACUUCUCGAGAAAAAUAGGGGGGAAACUUGAAUUAGUAAGUCUGGUGAUGCACCCCUGUCAUCCCAGCACUCAGGAGGCUGAGGCAGGAGGAUUGUAGUGAGUUUGAGGCCAGCCUGGGCUACAAAGUGAGACCCUGUCUCAAAACCAAACAGUUCUCCACAAGCAGGAUAUCCACAUGGUGCACCCCUGUGACCCCAGCACUCAGGAGGCUGAGGCAGGAGGAUCACAAGUGCAAGUUCAGCCUGGUAACUUAGUGACUUGGUGAGACUCUGUCUCAAAAUAAAAAAAAGGAAUGGGGAUGGGCCUCAGGGUGGGGGCCCACAGAAACCAAACAAGAAACCAGAAGUGAGCGGGGACAGUCACAUUGGCACUAUUCAGGGGAGUCCUACAUGAGAAGGAAUCAAUCCCAGUCCCUCUCCAUGGGACAGGCGAUAAACAAAGGUGGCUGGUCAGCUUUGAGAACAAAUCUCACAGUCAUAAUCCAAAGGAUUUCAUUUACCCGAGGGACAAAAGGAGCCAAGACAGUCGGGGUGUGAGAGAUCAGGGAGGGGUCGCCUGCCACCAGGCAGGAGGGGUGGUGCUCCAGGGCCCAAACGCCUGAGGUCAGGAGUCCCUGGAAACAGCUCUGUCCACAAGGCUCUGGGCCCCACUUCGAGCAGAUGUGGAGUGUGCCCUGGGGGCCCAGGUGUGGGGUGAGGGGAGCAGAAGGGAGGGCCAGGUCCCCGGUGCUCUUUCCCUGCCCAGCACUUGUAAUGUGGGCCUGACCCAGGCUUUUUCUGCCGCAGCCCCUGGGCCCGGCCUCUUCCCACACCAGAGCCUGCUGCCCACACUCAGGGUUCUCAGGGGAGCUGGAGGAAAGGCCUCAUCCACAUCCUGAGGCCAGGGCGGUAGGUGCCCAGCGAGAGUGGCUCUGGGGAACACAGGGUGCCUGGUGCCUUAGGCACCUUCCCUCCCUGGACUCAGUACCUGACGCCACAGUGUAAAGGAGAGAUUUAUAGGGGCCGGGGAUUUAGCUCAGUGGUUUUGCUGCCUGCUGCGCAAGCGCAAGGACCGGAGUUCAGUCCCCCGUACCAAAAAAAAAAAAAAAAAAAAAAAAAAGAAGAGGUUUAUUUUCGCUUGAGGUUUAUUUUCGCUUAUAGUUUCAGUCUGUGGGUGGCCAGUUCCAAGGCAGAGCAGCAGGGCAGAAGGGCCUGGUGGAGGACACAUGCUCACUUCCUGGCGGCCAGGAAGCAGGGAGAGAAGGGAGGAGCAGGGAGAACAGCCUCUUCCAGGCCACUCCCCCAGUGGCCACCUCCGCGGAGGCCCCACCUCCUUCACAGUAUACUCGGCUAUGACCUCAGGCAUGCAGGAAUCCAUCGAUGAGUCCAGCUCCAUUGAUCCCAUCCGCUUGCACCUUACACACACAGGAGAAUUCUGGGGGACACUUCAGAUCCAAAUGUAACACCCAAUUGGCCCCUGCUGCUGACCCCAGACAACCUCAGGAAAGUUCAGCUCAAGCCACGGUUUGGAGACCUGACUGUAGGUGUUGGACCCCCUACCCCUGCUGUGGGACAUGCGAAGGUGGGUGGGUCACUUCCUGCUCCUAAAAAGUGGCCACAACCCCAGGCAGCUGGCAGGGACCAACAUGUCACUGGCAUCCGGCACAGGCCGACUGGAUGGAUGCUGAGUUCUGGAGGGGAUGCUGUGUGGGCGGCCAGCUCAGUUACAAGCUUUAGAGAAAACAGGACUCAUACUAGAAAUAAGCUCAAAUACCUGGGUGUGGAAGGACAUGCCUAUAAUCCUAGCACUCAGGAGGCUGAGGCAGGAGAGUCGGUGUGAGUUCAAGACCAGCCAGGCUCCACAGCGAGGCCUUGUCUCAGAAAAAGAAAACGCUAAGAAAAAUAAAACUGGCAUUUGUAUGUAUUCGCAUUUUACUAUUCCUUGUAUGUUUUGUCUAUAAACCUGAAAUUUUUCCUUUAACCUAAUGACCUUUAUUUAGUAUUUAUGCUUCAGUUCUGUUAACAAAUUAUCUAUUUCAUUUGUCCAAAAAAGUAAUUUCUAUUUUGAAAGAUAUUUUCACAGAUACCAUUCUAAGAUGACAAUUUUUUCUUUUAUUACUUAUUAGAUGCAGUUCCAUUGUCUUCUGACUUGCAUUGUUUUAGUAGAAGUUUGUAGUCUUCUGCUUUUUUUUUGGUUUUCUUAUUUCUAAUUGUCUUUUUAAAUUUUCCUCAGCUGCUUUUCAG